GAUGAAGAACGUAGCGAAAUGCGAUAAGUAAUGUGAAUUGCAGAAUUCAGUGAAUCAUCGAAUCUUUGAACGCACCUUGCGCCCUUUGGACAUUCCGAAGGGCAUGCCUGUUUGAGUAUCAUGAACACCUCAACUCUCACGGCUUGUCCGUGAUGAGCUUGGACUUUGGGGGUCUUGCCGGCCUGUGGUCGGCUCCUCUCAAAUGGAUCAGCUUGCCAGUGUUUGGUGGCAUCACAGGUGUGAUAACUAUCUGCGCUUGUGGUUUUCCAUCAGAUAACCUUCAGUGAUAUGGAGGUUCGCUGGAGCUCACAAAUGUCUCUCCUUAGUGAGGACAGCUCUUUGAACGUUUGAUCUCAAAUCAGGUAGGACUACCCGCUGAACUUAAGCAUAUCAAUAAGCGGAGGA
rnacentral:misc_RNA from 1 species